CAACUCUCCAUGCCUGGACAAACACAAAACUGCAUGUCUUGGCUCCCUGCCCUCCUGGAGUGGGGAAGCACCCUGCUACACUGGCAGGACAUCAGCUGGAGUCUACAGGGGAAUGAACAAAGAGAAUGGCCUCUUAUCCACGUCUGCAGAAAAAUCACUCACGGGAUUUGACAUCUGCUGCACACCAUGGAGAAGACACCUUAUUGAUGAAAAAGAACACAGUUCCUGAGGAUUGCUCUGGGAUGGGGAAAACUUGAUCAUCUUCUGCCCCUUGUGCUCACAGAAACUGUUUGAGGUCUGUCUCCUGGGGACCCCACCCUCCAUUUUUAGGACUGAAUACCUGAAGUACAGUUGUCAUCCUGUUGAAUCUUAUGUUACCUGCAUUUUAUGUCUUCAACUUCUCUGGUUUUGUUUAAGCAAACAAUCUCUUCUUGAGAAGGGACAGAAGGGAAAUAAAAUUCUAGAUACCCAAUGUGUCCAAAAA